rnacentral:rRNA from 1 species
UACGAAGGGGGCUAGCGUUGCUCGGAAUCACUGGGCGUAAAGGGCGCGUAGGCGGCUUGCCAAGUCGGGGGUGAAAGCCCGUGGCUCAACCACGGAAUGGCCUUCGAUACUGGCAGGCUUGAGACCGGAAGAGGACAGCGGAACUGCGAGUGUAGAGGUGAAAUUCGUAGAUAUUCGCAAGAACACCAGUGGCGAAGGCGGCUGUCUGGUCCGGUUCUGACGCUGAGGCGCGAAAGCGUGGGGAGCAAACAGGAUUAGAUACC